GGGGAUUUAGCUCAGUGGCAUAAGCACCUGCCUUGCAAGCAGGAGGUCGUGAGUUCGAUCCCUGGUACCCG
rnacentral:tRNA from 1 species